GAAUUUAUGUGCGCGCAGCAAUGAGUAAACCGCGUUGACUGCAAUUCCAGUCAACGCCGAGAGAGGAACUUUGAGCAGUUACGUCCAAGUAACUAAGUACGCUUGUCUACUAACGAAUAAACAAUAUGACUGCUGGUUAAGCAAAGCCCCAUGAUUUUUUAUGAUUCACAUCAGCAGCACAGCUAAUAAGUUCCAACAAAACUUUGUAUGUUUGUACAUACUUAUAUACAUAUGUAUAUGGGUAUACUAUAUAAAUGUCGUUGUGCUCAGCUAGGUCAGCUCAGCAAAGCGUACAUUUCAUACUCAAAUCAAUCUGAAUGUGAGUCUGCUUACAAGUGCAUCUCACGUUUGCUGUGCGAAAAAUUAAAUUUUACUUAAAUACUAUUUCAGUCGCUUCCAACAAAGAAAGCUUGAGACUCUUGUGUAAACAUCAGGCCGACCCAGGGCGCAUGUCGCGGUGCCAUAGGAAACAAUCCCGACCAGCUGUGGUGUGCCGUUUGUUAUUGUAAGUGGACCUCCGGAGUCACCCUGAAAAUAUGAGGAUAUAAGAACGGGCGCAACUAAAAGAACUAUAAUAUAUUAAUAUUAAAGAAAAGUUCUCAUAUGGGAAGUAGGCUUACCUAUCACAUGUUAAACUCAUUUACGGCAGUUACAUAAUUCUGAGUAAAAUAUUUUUUGGAAAGUAGAAGUGAAUAGCGUAAGGACCGGAAGAGCCUCUUAUAAUAGAUCAGAAGUUUUUCACUGCCUGUCGACGGACGAACGAUAUAUGCACAUAUAUAUUUAAAAUAUAUUUUAUAUUUUCCAAAAUACUUAAAAAUGUUGUUAACUUUUCUUUAAUAUUAUUUCUUCGAACAAACUUGAUAACUUGUUUUCGUACGUAGCCUUACUUUUUUGGAACAUGUCGACAAAAUAACAAAUAUACAAUAUAUCACAACUACACUUUUAACAUAAUAUUUUUUCAAUUAAUUGAAAUAAAUGAAACCUCAUUACUUACCACACAAGCACCUCGACCUCUUUCGCCGAGGGCACACAGCUCAUUGGCUGUUAUGCGAAAUCCACGUUGGGCACAUUCCUGGUUCGAUAUGGUGUGAUAAUCUAACACUUGCAAUCGUUCUGGUAAACCGGUCGAUCCCGUAGGCGUCAGGGAGCCCCAGCCCGUCAAACGCACUGCCACUUUAUCACCCACACGUGCUCGAUUACCCAGCGAAAUUGUGCUUAUUGAUGUUCUGGCCAAAUUGAAUGACGGAGUUACCUUUAACACCGCAAUGUCAUUAAUAAUUAAUGAACUCGAUGAGAAACCUGGGUGGGAGCGCAUAGCUACAACCCCAUGGCGAUCGCCACCAUAGCGCCAUGUCAAUGUACCGACAACAACACUGAUCUCAUUUGGGUUCAUCUUCGUUAAGCAAUGAGCAGCGGUAAGAACGUGCUGAGGGCUGAUAAUGGAACCACUACAAAAGUGGUGAUAACGUCCACGUCGGAGCACCUGCAACGAUACCUGGUACGGAACAAUUUGUUCUACCGGCCGUCCGCCAUUUAUACGAUUUACAGAG